CUAAAUAAAUAUAAGAAAUGGAGUGUGAGUGCCAAUGAAACAACUCUCCUUCCUAGUCUACCGACCGUGCAAGAACAGUAUAGCCAGUCAAUGUCGUUAAAAACUUCCAUUUGUUGUCUUCCUAGGCACAAUUUAUAAAAGUAAACCAUUAUAGGUUAAAAUCGUGAACACGGAGGCUUGGCUCCCACCGCACAGCAAGCUAUAAAGGGCACCAAAAAAUACAAGUAUAAGUUUAAAACCAUUCGAUAGGGAAAACUAACGGUCUAAUCUACGUAAAAAUCGAGAAACGGGAAACACUUUUAAAUCCACAUAAAAAAACAACAUCAUCUGAACAUCAGAUUCCUUACUUAAGACAGAUGCAAACAAUUGCAGCGGGUUUAAUUGUUUUAAUGGUAUCAAACCUUCACCCUUGUCUGAAACAAUAGUGUAACAUCACAACAUAGAAAGAUACACUAUAAAAUAUCAAUUGGAACUCAACCAAAAGGCAUAUCAACAAAGUAUACUUUAUCAAUAUAAUGCAUUGGAAGUAAUCUGCUGUUCAAUAGUCAUAUAUCUAUUUAACUGAGGGAAACACAUCAACUAUAAGGGGGGAAAACAACAAAAACACUGAACUGCUACAAAAAAAAACCGCCAACAUACAUAGAAACGGACUAUGUGAUUACAACUGCAAUACUCUGACUUCGUACAAGACAUUUUAAAAAUUGUGGGUUGAACCUGAAUUUAUGGCUAGCCAAACCUCCCGCUUUUGUAGCAAAAUUAAUAAUACUGCUAAAUGACAAUAUUACGCAACAGGAAUACAGUACAAAUACAAAUAAAUGCAAGAACACUCAGGACAGAAAUACAUAAAUAACUAAUAUAAUAAUACAUUUCGACAUGGUACCUACAGAAUAACACCAAAAAUUAAUUUACGUCCCAAUAGAAUAAUGAACUUUGCGUCACACAAAUGUAUCAACGCUACAAAAAAUGACAUCACAGGUAAAUUUCUUACAUCUCAUAUAUCCCAG
rnacentral:lncRNA from 1 species